GGGAUUGUGGCUCAGUGGUAGAGCACUUGCCUAGCAUGUGUAAGGCACUGGGUUCAAUUCUCAGCACCA
rnacentral:tRNA from 1 species